GGGGGGAGAGCUCAGUGGUAGAGCGUGUACUUAGCAUUUGCAAGGUCCUGGGUUCAAUCCCCAGUACCUCCA
rnacentral:tRNA from 1 species